rnacentral:tRNA from 1 species
GGGCGUGUGGCGUAGUCGGUAGCGCGCUCCUUAGCAUGGGAGAGGUCUCCGGUUCGAUUCCGGACUCGUCCA